rnacentral:rRNA from 1 species
UACGUAGGGCGCAAGCGUUUGUCCGGAAUUAUUGGGCGUAAAGCGUGCGCAGACGGUUGCGUAAGUCAGAUGUGAAAGCCCCGGGCUCAACCUGGGAAUUGCAUUUGAGACUGCGUAGCUAGGGUGCGGAAGAGGGAAGCGGAAUUUCCGGUGUAGCGGUGAAAUGCGUAGAUAUCGGAAGGAACACCAGUGGCGAAAGCGGCUUCCUGGUCCAGCACCGACGUCAGACACGAAAGCGUGGGGAGCAAACAGG